ACUGCAGUGAAACUGGGAGGCUAAGGGACUGGCCUCCAGACAGGCAGGACCCUGCUGCUGCUGGGCCCACCGGCCACCACCCCAGGAAGUGGAUGGACUCCAGCAGGAGGCAGAGCUUCAAGUGAGGAGAAUGUGGGAGUGGAAGAGGGACGAAGAAACGUACAGAUCAUAUGUGCACUGGGAACAGAGGCACCGCCGCGGCGUCUAGAGCAGCCUACGGGACUGUCAGAAGGGACACUCCAAGAAGGACAGAAGAAACUGCUGAGUUGGGGGUCUGCCUAUGGUGGCCUGCCGAUGUCUGUUUUAGAACUAAGCAGCUGGGUGGGAGUCCCACAGAGUCUGAGAGAAGGUCCCUGUCACCCUCACCAGGAAACGAGAUUUAACUUCAGCUUUCCACUCGGGGUCCAGGUAAGAACCGCAAAGACUGCCGGGCUGUUCUCUAGGGAUCCCUGUAUCCCUCCUAAGCUAUAGGAUUGCAUUCUCCAUGUUAAAGCCCAGGAAAUACAGUCCCAAGAGUCCAGAGACACAGGAGGGUGAGGAGGCUGGCUUUAUACUCCAGUCUCCUGAGUCUAAUGCCUGGCUCUUUCCCUGGCGUCCACACCCAUGGCUUUCCAGUGUUCCUUUCAAACGGGUGGAGCUAUUGCUAUUGUGUGUUUACUUAUUUAUUUAUUGUGGUACUGGGGAUUGGACAUAGGAUCUCAUGUAUACAGAGCUACAUAGCCCUCAUUAAUUUCUAAUCAUUCGUGUGUAUGUGUGUGUGUGUGUGUGUGUGUGUGUGUGUGUGUGUGUGUGUGUGUGUGUUAACACAACGUCCUAUGUAACCCAAGCUGGCUUCUAUCUAGCUCAGCUAUGGAACUAAGGAUGACCUCGAACAAGUCAUCUUCCUGCCUCAACCGAAUGCUGGAAUUGGACGCACACUAUACAGCCUCUUGCAUGUUAGAUAAGCACUCUGCCCACUGAGUGAUAUCCCAGGCCUCUUUAUUACUAAUUACUGCUUUGAUGACCAGGCUCCUCCCUCCAGGCUAUUUGCACAGUCGGUUCAGAAAAGACAAGUCCGGUGCGCCCCCGCGCGGUCACUAAAGGAAACACACGUCCUGCUGUGGCAGGCGCCUGAGUGGGAAAGGUGAGGUCUGUGUGGCGUCCCCUGUAGGCUGCGCUAGACAUCGCAGGCGAGUUAAUCUGUGGACGCCGCGGGUGACUCGCUCACUCACCUGGUGCCUUGUUAGACAAUCAGCUGAAUCAUGGUACACAACAGUGGGAGCAAGGAGGACAAAGGAAAGGCAGGGAAUAACAUCGUCUCUUGUAAACUACGAAAAGAGGCCCAGACUACCCUGUCCCUGAGGCAGUCCCAGAACAGAAGGACUUCUCCCACCCCUGGGCCGCUGGGUGUCAGGAUGUAUCGCUACAUUGCUUAGCCUAGUGCUCAGGCAUUGCUCUCGAUGCCUGCUUGCAGUCCCAGGUGAAGAUUCUGGCAUCUUCUACACAAUGAGCUUCUUUCAGACCUGGGCCAAUAAAGCCAUUUGCAUUGAUACAGACUCAGCACAGGCCAAAUGUCCAUGUGCACCAAGUGACCGAGUCCCGUGACCUUGCUCACCAAAUGCCCCCUAGGUGGAUGCAAUCUGGACAGGGUGUGUGUCUGUCUGCCCUGGUCCACAAGAACUCAGCAGUGGUGGGCAGUAUGAGCCUGGCAUGCACCCAGUAUAACUCGUUGCCUGAAUUGAUUUCCAUAGUAUCAUCCAUCCUUCUUGUUCUUCCUUCAUUCAAUGAGAAUUUGUUAGUAUUCAUUAUCAUGUGUGUGCACGUGUGUGUACAUUAUAUGUGUAUUUGCACAUAUACAUUACAUGUGUGCCACUUGUGUGAA